AACGAACGCUGGCGGCAUGCCUAACACAUGCAAGUCGAACGAGACCUCCGGGUCUAGUGGCGCACGGGUGCGUAACGCGACGGAACCUGCCCUCAGGUUCGGAAUAACUCUCCGAAAGGGGUGCUAAUACCGGACAAUGUCUUCGGACCAAAGAUUUAUUGCCUUUGGUUGGGCCCGCGUUGGAUUAGCUUGUUGGUAGGGUAAAAGCCUACCAAGGCGCCGAUUCAUAGCUGGGCUGGGAGGAUGGUCAGCCACACUGGGACUGGGACACGGCCCAGACUCCUACGGGAGGCAGCAGUGGGGGAUAUAGGACAACGGGCGAAAGGCUGAUGCAGCUAUGCCGCGUGAGUGAUGAAAGCCUUAGGGUUGUAAAGCUCUUUUACCCGUGAUGAUAAUGACGGUACCGGGAGAGUAAGCCCCGGCUAACUCCGUG
rnacentral:rRNA from 1 species